rnacentral:lncRNA from 1 species
GGGGAGACCGAUCAGCACAAGGACUUCAUAUGGAUACCUGUAGAGGUCGGACGCAUGUGUGAUUGCCAAGCAUCAUGAAGAACCAUUUACCAUCAAUUUCAGAUGUAGUGAUUUGCUACCCACACUCAGGUAUGAAGUUUUGAAUUCAAUUAAUAUUUAGAUAUGAUCUAAAUAUAAAGUAGAUAUGUUCUACACUUACUAAAUUUUAGAUUUCAGAUGUGCA